rnacentral:lncRNA from 1 species
UACUUUUUAUAACAAAGUUUUUAAAUCAAUUAAGUUUAUAUCGAAAGUAAUAUCAUUGAAAAGAUGUGUACGAAAUUUCAGAGCAAUUAAAAAAAAAGCUUUUUAGUUAUCGUGCCUGUCAAAUUAAAAAAUAGAGUCUCGAGAAAAACGCGUUUAAAAUUUGAAUACAUAAAAAUUCAAUGAUUGUAGUGACUUAAAGAAUGGUUAGCAAUUCCAGCGCUAUAUAAUAGUCCUUCGGUAGCCUCAUAGAAGUCGUUUUUCUUAAAAAAUUCUUGGCGUGCUUGACGAGCUUCUUUACUUUACUUUACUUUACAAGCUGCACUGAUUUUUUCGAAUCACUCUCUGUUCAUCUAUACUUUGUCUGCGUAUGGUUUACACUAUUUGCCAAUUAUUCUAUCAAAAUUGUUUGUUACUUGUAAAAGAGAUAUAUAUUCUUCACUGAACAAUCAAGCUGAUAUAUAAGCGACAAUUUUAAUGAUUUUUAACACUGAAUGUAAGUGAUUUAGAGCGAGACGCCAAACGGUAGAGUUGAAACUCAUUUACCUUCCAUGUAUGGCCACCAAAAUUCUUUUUAGCAAAUAAUAUCGGGAUUAAUCUUCAAAUAUUAGCCUUACAUACUUAUGGACCUCUGUAUGGAGUGCAAGAUGUUGAAUAAGUUUUGAAUUUUCUACACAAGCUUCAGCUUUUUGCCACUUACACCAGCUGUCGGGACUCGGCACUCAGUCUCAAAAUGCUUUAGAUUGUUAUCUGUUGAGCAUAUAUGAUAUAUUUUUCGUUUUCCAAAUUGUUUCGUAUAGUAUAAGCUCAAAAACUAAUCUAAACAGAACUUACAGCAACACCGGCUCUGACCUUCGCUAAUGUACUUUGUAAUAACUAUAAAACUGUUCUUUCUUAGAAACAAUAUAUAUAAUAAUUUUCAAACAUCUGCUCACUCAAAUUUUUAACAUUGGAAAGAUUGGAAGGUAAAGGCAUUCAAAAACAGGUAGUCAAAGUCAACAGUUCUACUGUACAUCUGACGGUACUCGAACGUAACGUGUAAGAGGACGAGAGAGGUGGUCCUACGCAACGUUGCCCGUGGUAGACCGCUGAGAGUAAAGUAAGGUGUAAACGAAUAUCAACCAGGGUUUUUAUGCCGCAAGGCGUUUUCCUGACGAGUCAAUAAAGCAUUGCACUUCUAUUGGCUCAA